GAUGAACGCUAGCGGCAGGCUUAACACAUGCAAGUCGUGGGGCAGCGCGGACUUCGGUCUGGCGGCGACCGGCAAACGGGUGCGGAACACGUACGCAACCUCCCUCAGAGCGGGAAUAGCCUCUCGAAAGAGAGAUUAAUACCCCAUAGUAUCUUGAAGACACAUGUCUAUGAGAUUAAAGCUUCGGCACUUUGAGAUGGGCGUGCGGCUGAUUAGGUAGUUGGUAGGUAACGGCCUACCAAGCCGACGAUCAGUAGCUGAUGUGAGAGCAUGAUCAGCCACACGGGCACUGAGACACGGGCCCGA
rnacentral:rRNA from 1 species